rnacentral:misc_RNA from 1 species
GAUGAAGAACGUAGCGAAAUGCGAUAAGUAAUGUGAAUUGCAGAAUUCAGUGAAUCAUCGAGUCUUUGAACGCACAUUGCGCCCCCUGGUAUUCCGGGGGGCAUGCCUGUCCGAGCGUCAUUGCUGCCCUCAAGCACGGCUUGUGUGUUGGGCCCCGCCCCCCGACUCCCGGGGGGCGGGCCCGAAAGGCAGCGGCGGCACCGCGUCCGGUCCUCGAGCGUAUGGGGCUUCGUCACCCGCUCCGUAGGCCCGGCCGGCGCCCGCCGGCGACCCCCCUCAAUCUUUUCAGGUUGACCUCGGAUCAGGUAGGGAUACCCGCUGAACUUAAGCAUAUCAAUAAGCGGAGGA